AGUGAACGCUGGCGGUAGGCCUAACACAUGCAAGUCGAACGGCAGCACAGUAAGAGCUUGCUCUUACGGGUGGCGAGUGGCGGACGGGUGAGGAAUACAUCGGAAUCUACUUUUUCGUGGGGGAUAACGUAGGGAAACUUACGCUAAUACCGCAUACGACCUACGGGUGAGAGCAGGGGAUCUUCGGACCUUGCGCGAUUGAAUGAGCCGAUGUCGGAUUAGCUAGUUGGCGGGGUAAGGGCCCACCAGGGCGACGAUCCGUAGCUGGUCUGAGAGGAUGAUCAGCCACACUGGAACUGAGACACGGUCCAGACUCCUACGGGAGGCAGCAGUGGGGAAUAUUGGACAAUGGGCGCAAGCCUGAUCCAGCCAUACCGCGUGGGUGAAGAAGGCCUUCGGGUUGUAAAGCCCUUUUGUUGGGAAAGAAAAGCAGCAGGUUAAUACCCCGCUGUUCUGACGGUACCCAAAGAAUAAGCACCGGCUAACUUCGUG
rnacentral:rRNA from 1 species